rnacentral:pre_miRNA from 1 species
UCCUAUGGUUGAGCCAAAAAAGUGGUUUCUUGAGAUAGAAUCUACUCCUGGUGGAGAUACUGUGAA